rnacentral:rRNA from 1 species
GACGGGGGGGGCAAGUGUUCUUCGGAAUGACUGGGCGUAAAGGGCACGUAGGCGGUGAAUCGGGUUGAAAGUGAAAGUCGCCAAAAAGUGGCGGAAUGCUCUCGAAACCAAUUCACUUGAGUGAGACAGAGGAGAGUGGAAUUUCGUGUGUAGGGGUGAAAUCCGUAGAUAUCAGGAGGAACACCGGUGGUGUAGACGGCUUUCUGGACCGUAACUGACGCUGAAACACGAAAGCGUGGGUAGCAAACAGG